UACGGGGGGGGCAAGCGUUGUUCGGAAUUACUGGGCGUAAAGGGCUCGUAGGCGGCCAACUAAGUCGGAUGUGAAAUCCCCAGGCUUAACCUGGGAACUGCAUCCGAUACUGGAUGGCUUGAAUCCGGGAGAGGGAUGCAGAAUUCCAGGUGUAGCGGUGAAAUGCGUAGAUAUCGAGAGGAACACCGGUGGCGAAGGCGAGUCCCUGGACAACACCUGACACUGAGGCACGAAAGCUAGGGGAGCAAACAGG
rnacentral:rRNA from 1 species